CCAGUGCCCUUUCCUCUUUGCCCCUUAAGAAGAUCUGAGCUGAGGAUGCGUCACCAUCUCCAAACAGCAUGCUUCACUUAGAAACAAAGAUCACUCUGGUUUUGAAAGGGCAGCCCCUGGGACGCAGCUUCUGCAGAUCUACUGUGUGUGACAGGUGUAGAGAGCAGACACAGGAGCAACCUUGAGCAUAACCGCUAGGCCCCCAAAUAGGGCUGCACCGUUCUCACUCCAGUGCUCCAGCUGGCACCCGGCCCCCGGCCCCCCACAUUCCAGCCCCUGCCCCGGCCGCCCUGCGGAGAAGCCCCUCUCGGCGCAGCUCACCUGUUUGUAGGCAUCGAGAAGGAAGCUCUUCCAGAUGCAGCGCAUCCCCUCUGAGGUCAGCAUGCGCCUCCACUCCCCGCGAGUGGACUUGGAGCGGCUCAGCAACAGCACCACGUGCUUGAGGAGAACGACCGAGUCAUAGAGCGCCAGGAAGAGGCAGUUGGAGAAAAAAACUGGCAGAAUCUGCAGUGUGAUCAGCAAGUCUACGCUGAGGAUGCCCAUCUUCUCUGCCUCCUGGAUUAAGAAAAUGAAGUUGGAUAACCUGAAAGCACACCUGGAGAUUUCAAGGAUGGAAGCUACCACUACUCUUUCCUUACUGUUAUCUGAAGGCAGCAAAGGGCAUUCAAGAACACUACGGAAUUCAUGCUGUGGAUUUUCAAGUGGUCUUAGUUUCAUAAAAUUUUAUUCCUUCCAAUUCAAGUGAUUUGCUAAAUAUAAUUUUUGAAUGGAGAUUAAAUUUUACUUUAAUAAAAACUUGUCUAAUAAAUAUAUUAUAAAUCCAAUAA